CUAUUUAAUCCACACGACUCUCGGCAACGGAUAUCUCGGCUCUCGCAUCGAUGAAGAACGUAGCGAAAUGCGAUACCUGGUGUGAAUUGCAGAAUCCCGCGAACCAUCGAGUCUUUGAACGCAAGUUGCGCCCGAGGCCACUCGGCCGAGGGCACGCCUGCCUGGGCGUCACGC
rnacentral:rRNA from 1 species